CCGCCUCUCCGCAGACGAAGACAAGCUUGGUUGAAAUCGAGAAGGCCGCGAUAAGGCAUCCCCUUCUCCUUCGUGUCACCGAGAAAUCUCAUCCUUUUCUAGUUUUGAUCUGUUCUUCCGGUGGGUUACCACUCGUGUCUCGCUUAAAAGUUGGAUUUUGGGCGCUAGGGUUCCGUCUUUUGGUUCUUGCUAUCGUUGGGGAAGAGGAGGGAGGGAGGGAGCGAGGGAGGAUGGGUUGGUGGCUGAGGAGUUGCCUGCAGUCGGUGCUGAAGCUGGUGAAUUCGGUGAUGGGGUUGGCGGGGAUGGGGGUGAUCCUCUACUCGCUCUGGAUGCUUAGGUCGUGGUAUAAGCACUUCGACGGCUCAUCAUUUGCAGGCGCCGUUUCCUCUCCUCCAUGAUUGCCGUUUGGAUGCAUGUUGACUUGGCGAGUGAUGCUUGAUUGUAAAGGUUCAUUUACGCUUUUCUUGGACUAGGCAUUUACCUUUGUUUGAUUACAUGCUCUGGUCACAUCGCUGCUGAAACAGCUAACGGCCAAUGUCUUUCUUGUUACAUGGCAUUUGUGUUUCUGCUUGUCAUGAUGGAGGCUGCAUUAAUUGCAGAUAUAUUUCUGAACAGAGAAUGGGAGGAGGAUUUCCCAGAGGAUCCAACGGGAAAAUUUGAUGAGCUAAAGAAUUUUGUGAGAUCAAAUUUUGAAAUGUGUAAAUGGAUAGGUUUGUUGGUUGUGGCUGCACAAGCAUUUUCUAUCUUCACGGCUAUGGUGCUUAGGGCUCUCGGACCAGACAGUUCAAUUGAUUAUGACAGCGAUGACGACUUUGUCCCAGCUAGGCUGCCUCUUCUGAGAAAUGAGGUUCAGCAAACUUAUCAAACCGCUGCCCCCAGCUUGUCUUUGAAGAUUGAUUCUUGAAUUGGGUAAGUGAUGAAGACUGGUUUUUGAUCCCAAGACCUUACAACUAUCUAACAAAAUUUUCUCCGGUGAAACUGUGCUUAGUUAAUUACGGCGUUCCUUCUCUCCAGACGAAUAUUAUACUUUGGAUAUGGCGGUUCGUUUCAAUGCUAAUACAAUGCAUGUACCAUUCAUGUGGAAGUAAACUAAUGUAUAAAUGUUGUUCAAAUUGACAAAGCAUGUAUGACUGCCUAUUUUUAGCUUUGUUCCUGACACAGUA